GAAAGUAAGAAAGGGCGUAUGGCGGAUGCCUAGGCUCACGGAGGCGAUGAAGGACGUGAUAAGCUGCGACAAGCCCUGGGUAGGUGCAAAUGACCUUUGAUCCAGGGAUUUCCGAAUGGGACAACCCGGCAGUCUGAAGGACUGUCAUCCGGAUGAAUAUCCGGAGGCGAACGGAGGGAACUGAAACAUCUUAGUACCUCCAGGAAGAGAAAAUAAACAAUGAUUCCCCCAGUAGUGGCGAGCGACCGGGGAAGAGCCCAAACCGGUGUUGUCAAGGCAACGCCGG
rnacentral:rRNA from 1 species